CGCUCUUCUGAUCUGCGGUGGCCACGCAAAACAGCAACAGUAUUGCGCUCCGCAUCUUCGGGAGCUGGUGUCUCUUGCGCCGCCGCUGCGCUCAC
rnacentral:lncRNA from 1 species